GACGAACGCUGGCGGCGUGCUUAACACAUGCCAGUCGAACGGAAAGGCCCUGCUUUUGUGGGGUGCUCGAGUGGCGAACGGGUGAGUAACACGUGAGUAACCUGCCCUUGACUUUGGGAUAACUUCAGGAAACUGGGGCUAAUACCGGAUAGGAGCUCCUGCUGCAUGGUGGGGGUUGGAAAGUUUCGGCGGUUGGGGAUGGACUCGCGGCUUAUCAGCUUGUUGGUGGGGUAGUGGCUUACCAAGGCUUUGACGGGUAGCCGGCCUGAGAGGGUGACCGGCCACAUUGGGACUGAGAGACGGCCCAGACUCCUACGGGAGGCAGCAGUGGGGAAUAUUGCACAAGGGGCGGAAGCCUGAUGCAGCAACGCAGCGUGAGGGAUGACGGCCUUAGGGUUGUAAACCGCUUUCGCCUGUGACGAAGCGUGAGUGACGGUAAUGGGUAAAGAAGCACCGGCUAACUACGUG
rnacentral:rRNA from 1 species